GACCGCGUAGCUCAGUUGGCAGAGCAUUGGGCUAGUAUUCCAAAGGUCGUAGGUUCGAUUCCCACCGUGGCUG